rnacentral:rRNA from 1 species
GAUGAACGCUAGCGGCAGGCCUAACACAUGCAAGUCGAGGGGUAGAACACUUCGGUGUUUGAGACCGGCGCACGGGUGCGUAACGCGUAUGCAAUCUACCUUGUACAGGGGAAUAGCCCAGAGAAAUUUGGAUUAAUGCCCCAUAGUAUAUAACCUUCGCAUGUUGGUUAUAUUAAAGUUCCAACGGUACAAGAUGAGCAUGCGUCCCAUUAGUUAGUUGGUAAGGUAACGGCUUACCAAGACGAUGAUGGGUAGGGGUCCUGAGAGGGAGAUCCCCCACACUGGUACUGAGACACGGACCAGACUCCUACGGGAGGCAGCAGUGAGGAAUAUUGGUCAAUGGUCGCAAGACUGAACCAGCCAUGCCGCGUGCAGGAAGACGGUCCUAUGGAUUGUAAACUGCUUUUAUACAGGAAGAAACCCUCCCACGUGUGGGAGCUUGACGGUACUGUAGGAAUAAGGAUCGGCUAACUCCGUGCCAGCAGCCGACGGUAAACACGGAGAGUA